UACAGAGGGGGCAAGCGUUGUUCGGAAUUACUGGGCGUAAAGGGCGCGUAGGCGGCCAACUAAGUCGAACGUGAAAUCCCUGGGCUCAACCCAGGAACUGCGUCCGAUACUGGAAGGCUUGAAUCCGGGAGAGGGAUGCGGAAUUCCAGGUGUAGCGGUGAAAUGCGUAGAUAUCUGGAGGAACACCGGUGGCGAAGGCGGCAUCCUGGACCGGCAUUGACGCUGAGGCGCGAAAGCUAGGGGAGCAAACAGG
rnacentral:rRNA from 1 species